UGGGGAAUUUUGGACAAUGGGGGAAACCCUGAUCCAGCCAUCCCGCGUGUGCGAUGAAGGCCUUCGGGUUGUAAAGCACUUUUGGCAGGAAAGAAACGUCAUGGGUUAAUACCCCGUGAAACUGACGGUACCUGCAGAAUAAGCACCGGCUAACUACGUGCCAGCAGCCGCGGUAAUACGUAGGGUGCAAGCGUUAAUCGGAAUUACUGGGCGUAAAGCGUGCGCAGGCGGUUCGGAAAGAAGGAUGUGAAAUCCCAGAGCUCAACUUUGGAACUGCAUUUGUAACUACCGGGCUAGAGUGUGUCAGAGGGAGGUGGAAUUCCGCGUGUAGCAGUGAAAUGCGUAGAUAUGCGGAGGAACACCGAUGGCGAAGGCAGCCUCCUGGGAUAACACUGACGCUCAUGCACGAAAGCGUGGGGAGCAAACAGG
rnacentral:rRNA from 1 species